rnacentral:lncRNA from 1 species
UCUCUUAAGAAACUAUCACUAGCCAAUCAACUCGCGACGCGAGUCCGCGCGACGUCCUGUCUUUUUCCCUCCCAUUACCAUCCGCUUCGCCCGCGAGGCGUUCGACGGAAUGCGCCCCGGCCGAGCGCGCGCGGCGGCGCGCCCCGCCCCCGCCCAUGUGGGCAUGCCCCUCCCGCGCCGCCCUCCGCGGUACGUCAGCGCGCCACCUGCGCGGGCGGGCACGAGGUGUACGUCACCUUU